rnacentral:rRNA from 1 species
CCUACGGGUGGCAGCAGUGAGGAAUAUUGGUCAAUGGACGAGAGUCUGAACCAGCCAAGUAGCGUGAAGGAUGACUGCCCUAUGGGUUGUAAACUUCUUUUAUAUGGGAAUAAAAUGUUCCACGUGUGGGAUUUUGUAUGUACCAUAUGAAUAAGGAUCGGCUAACUCCGUGCCAGCAGCCGCGGUAAUACGGAGGAUCCGAGCGUUAUCCGGAUUUAUUGGGUUUAAAGGGAGCGUAGGUGGAUUGUUAAGUCAGUUGUGAAAGUUUGCGGCUCAACCGUAAAAUUGCAGUUGGAACUGGCAGUCUUGAGUACAGUAGAGGUGGGCGGAAUUCGUGGUGUAGCGGUGAAAUGCUUAGAUAUCACGAAGAACUCCGAUUGCGAAGGCAGUUCACUGGACUGCAACUGACACUGAGGCUCGAAAGUGUGGGUAUCAAACAGGAUUAGAUACCCUUGUAGUC